rnacentral:rRNA from 1 species
GACGAACGCUGGCGGCGUGCUUAACACAUGCAAGUCGAACGGAAAGGCCCUGCUUUUGUGGGGUGCUCGAGUGGCGAACGGGUGAGUAACACGUGAGUAACCUGCCCUUGACUUUGGGAUAACUUCAGGAAACUGGGGCUAAUACCGGAUAGGAGCUCCUGCUGCAUGGUGGGGGUUGGAAAGUUUCGGCGGUUGGGGAUGGACUCGCGGCUUAUCAGCUUGUUGGUGGGGUAGUGGCUUACCAAGGCUUUGACGGGUAGCCGGCCUGAGAGGGUGACCGGCAAAAUGGGGACGAGGAUACGGCCCGAACCCCAACGGGGGGCAGAAGGGGGGAAUAUUGCAAAAUGGGCGGAGGCCUGAUGAAGAAACGCCGCGGGGGGGAGGACGGCCUUCGGGUGGUAAACCGCUUUCGCCUGGGACGAAGCGGGAGGGAGGGAAAUGGGGAAAAAAGCCCGGGCAAAUUAGUG